AGUAUAGAUAGAGAUCUUAGAAAAUUUACCAAAUUCGAUAAUCUUCCUUUAGCAAUAAACACACAGAUGCACAGAUAUUCACACGACACUUGUAAAAGUUAAAUUUCUACAAUGUCAGCGAUUCUCCCCUAAAUAAGACGCACAAACGUUGAAUUUCUAAAAAUAAAACGAAAUUACUCCGCAUCUUCAUUAUACGCUUUAUCUUCUUUGACGCACUUGAUGCACAUUUUGUAUGGAAAUGACCGACGUAUGUUUAAAUUGCUGAAUCGAAACUUUUAGGUUUGAUCGAGAGAAGAGAAAAAAAAAAGAAAAAGAAAAAGGAAAAAAAGAAACGAUACUGUCAGAAACAUAACUGCGCCAUGAAACUGAUUUCGUUUCCUUUUUUCCCUCUGCUUCCCUUCUUUUUUUCUCUCUCGAUAAGGUUACAUUCACGUUCGAAAUUCGCGACGCGAAACGUGUGUACGUGUGUACAUACAACAAAAAUCGUAAAGCGUGAUGUAAGAAGAGCGUAAUGUUAAUUCAGAUAAAUCCUUGUCGAACCGAGAUGAACCCGCAACAUCUUAUCUACCAUUGAUAAUGUCGUCGCAAUCGGUCAGAUUUAUAUCAGAAAUAAUUCAACGAUAGUACGUCUAGUAAUUGGAGAUAUUCUUGGCACGCGAGAUAUCUCGAUCUUCCUUCGAGCAGUUAAUAUUACCAAAAUUGUUUAAAAUUGAACGAGGGAUAUAUAACAAAUUAAGGAUAUAUUAAUUCAAUAUAUUAUUAAAUAAGUAAAUCAAUUAUUUCAUUAUUGACUGUAAUAUUACUUGUACGACACUUUAUUACAGAAUUAAAUGCCCAAAAGGGUUAGUCUUUCUCAUUUUGUUUCAACUUUUUUAUUAGGUGAGAAAAGUUUGAACAAACUGUGAAAUAUCUUGUCACUUUCACGCAUCUUAAUUUCUGCUGUGACUCUCGAACUUUUGUCUCGAUUUACAUUGCUUUUUUAUUUUAAUCCAAAGUCCAGAAAAAAAAUUGUUUGUCAACUGUUUUUUUGGAAUGUUUCAAGUGCAAAAUCGAAUCGAAAAAUUCAAAUAUCAAUAACGACUUUCCUUAACCUACCUAACCUAAUCUAACCUAAACCUACAAAAAUUUUCCAAUGAUAAAUGGUUAUUACAACUCGAACAAUUCAGUAUGAUUCAAUCGUUAAUGAGCAAACGAAUAAACGAGUCAAAUGUUGCAAUGAAAUCAUUAAUAUUUACUUUCUAUGAAAAGUUGAAAACAUGCAUUUCUUUAUACUGGUGAUUGUGAAUAAAACGACAAUUACUUUCGAAAUUGUUUAUUCUAAAUUCGAUAAAGAGUGAAAGAUGUACAGGCUAGAUCAAACACGAUUCACGAAGAUGUUUUGAGCGUCGAAUACGUCAUAGUAUUCUGGAUUUCAUUCAAAAAAUUACGUAUAUAGUACAAUUUGCAGCAUCUAAUCCGGUUAGAUGAACUUGAUAACCCAGUAAAUGUAGCCAAAUGAAUUCAUGUAACAAACAGUUUCUAGUACUGAUUGUGGAAGUUAAAC